rnacentral:hammerhead_ribozyme from 1 species
AUCCAGCUGGAGGACGAGUUCCAAAUGGGACGAAAUGCGCAUCCUGGAU